rnacentral:lncRNA from 1 species
AUGCUCAAAAUUCUCCAAGCCAGGCUUCAGCAAUACGUGAACCAUGAACUUCCUGAUGUUCAAGCUGGUUUUAGAAAAGGCAGAGGAACCAGAGAUCAAAUUGCCAACAUCCGCUGGAUCAUCAAAAAAGCAAGAGAGUUCCAGAAAAACAUCUGUUUCUGCUUUAUUGACUAUGCCAAAGCCUUUGACUGCAUGGAUCACAAUAAACUGUGGCAAAUUCUGAAAGAGAUGGGAAUACCAGACCACCUAACUUGCCUCUUGAGAAAUCUGUAUGCAGGUCAGGAAGCAAGAGUUAGAAGUGGACAUGGAACAACAGACUGGUUCCGAAUAGGAAAAGAAGUAUAUCAAGGCUGUCUAUUGUCACCCUGCUUAUUUAACUUCUAUGCAGAGUACAUCAUGAAAAAGGCUGGGCUGGAAGAAGCACAAGCUGGAAUCAAGAUUGCUGGGAGAAAUCUCAAUAACCUCAGAUAUGCAGAUGACACCACCCUUUUGGCAGAAAGUGAAGAGAAGCUAAAAAGCCUCUUGAUGAAAGUGAAAGAGGAGAGUGAAAAAGUUGGCUUGAAGCUCAACAUUCAGAAAACGAAGAUCAUGGCAUCUAGUCCCAUCACUUCAUGGGAAAUAGAUGGGGAAAGAGUGGAAACAGUGUCAGACUUUAUUUUUUGGGGCUCCAAAAUCCCUGCAGAUGGUGAUUGCAGCCAAGAAAUUAAAAGAAACUUACUCCUUGGAAGAAAAGUUAUGACCAACCUAGGUAGCAUAUUCAAAAGCAGAGACAUUACUUUGCCGACUAAGGUCCGUCUAGUCAAGACUAUGGUUUUUCCUGUGGUCAUGUAUGGAUGUGAGAGUUGGACUGUGAAGAAGGCUGAGCGCCAAAGAAUUGAUGCUUUUGAAGUGUGGUGUUGGAGAAGACUCUUGAGAGUCCCUUGGACUGCAAGGAGAUCCAACCUGUCCAUUCUGAAGGAGAUCAACCCUAGGAUUUCUUUGGAAGGAAUGAUGCUAAAGCUGAAACUCCAGUACUUUGGCCACCUCAUGCGAAGAGUUGACUCACUGGAAAAGACUCUGAUGCUGGGAGGGAUUGGUGGCAGAAGGAGAAGAGGAUGA